UACGUAGGGUGCAAGCGUUAAUCGGAAUCACUGGGCGUAAAGCGCACGUAGGCGGAUCUUUAAGUCAGGGGUGAAAUCCUGGAGCUCAACUCCUGAACUGCCUUUGAUACUGGGGAUCUCGAGUCCGGGAGAGGUGAGUGGAACUGCGAGUGUAGAGGUGAAAUUCGUAGAUAUUCGCAAGAACACCAGUGGCGAAGGCGGCUCACUGGCCCGGUACUGACGCUGAGGUGCGAAAGCGUGGGGAGCAAACAGG
rnacentral:rRNA from 1 species